rnacentral:rRNA from 1 species
UACGAAGGGUGCAAGCGUUACUCGGAAUUACUGGGCGUAAAGCGUGCGUAGGUGGUUCGUUAAGUCUGAUGUGAAAGCCCUGGGCUCAACCUGGGAAUGGCAUUGGAUACUGGCGAUCUAGAGUGCGGUAGAGGGCAGUGGAAUUCCCGGUGUAGCAGUGAAAUGCGUGAGAGAGUCGGAGGAACAUCUGUGGCGAAGGCGACUGCCUGGACCAGCACUGACACUGAGGCACGAAAGCGUGGGGAGCAAACAGG